GAUGAACGCUGGCGGCGUGCCUAAUACAUGCAAGUCGAGCGAACAGAUGAGGAGCUUGCUCCUCUGACGUUAGCGGCGGACGUGUGAGUAACACGUGGAUAACCUACCUAUAAGACUGGGAUCACUUCGGGAAACCGGAGCUAAUACCGGAUAAUAUAUUGAACCGCAUGGUUCAAUAGUGAAAGACGGUUUUGCUGUCACUUAUAGAUGGAUCCGCGCCGCAUUAGCUAGUUGGUAAGGUAACGGCUUACCAAGGCUACGAUGCGUAGCCGACCUGAGAGGGUGAUCGGCCACACUGGAACUGAGACACGGUCCAGACUCCUACGGGAGGCAGCAGUAGGGAAUCUUCCGCAAUGGGCGAAAGCCUGACGGAGCAACGCCGCGUGAGUGAUGAAGGUCUUCGGAUCGUAAAACUCUGUUAUUAGGGAAGAACAAAUGUGUAAGUAACUAUGCACGUCUUGACGGUACCUAAUCAGAAAGCCACGGCUAACUACGUG
rnacentral:rRNA from 1 species